rnacentral:rRNA from 1 species
GAUGAACGCUGGCGGCGUGCCUAAUACAUGCAAGUCGAGCGAACGGACGAGAAGCUUGCUUCUCUGAUGUUAGCGGCGGACGGGUGAGUGACACGUGGAUAACCUACCUAUAAGACUGGGAUAACUUCGGGAAACCGUAGCUAAUACCGGAUAAUAUUUUGAACCGCAUGGUUCAAAAGUGAAAGACGGUCUUGCUGUCACUUAUAGAUGGAUCCGCGCUGCAUUAGCUAGUUGGUAAGGUAACGGCUUACCAAGGCAACGAUGCAUAGCCGACCUGAGAGGGUGAUCGGCCACACUGGAACUGAGACACGGUCCAGACUCCUACGGGAGGCAGCAGUAGGGAAUCUUCCGCAAUGGGCGAAAGCCUGACGGAGCAACGCCGCGUGAGUGAUGAAGGUCUUCGGAUCGUAAAACUCUGUUAUUAGGGAAGAACAUAUGUGUAAGUAACUGUGCACAUCUUGACGGUACCUAAUCAGAAAGCCACGGCUAACUACGUGCCAGCAGCCGCGGUAAUACGUAGGUGGCAAGCGUUAUCCGGAAUUAUUGGGCGUAAAGCGCGCGUAGGCGGUUUUUUAAGUCUGAUGUGAAAGCCCACGGCUCAACCGUGGAGGGUCAUUGGAAACUGGAAAACUUGAGUGCAGAAGAGGAAAGUGGAAUUCCAUGUGUAGCGGUGAAAUGCGCAGAGAUAUGGAGGAACACCAGUGGCGAAGGCGACUUUCUGGUCUGUAACUGACGCUGAUGUGCGAAAGCGUGGGGAUCAAACAGGAUUAGAUACCCUGGUAGUCCACGCCGUAAACGAUGAGUGCUAAGUGUUAGGGGGUUUCCGCCCCUUAGUGCUGCAGCUAACGCAUUAAGCACUCCGCCUGGGGAGUACGACCGCAAGGUUGAAACUCAAAGGAAUUGACGGGGACCCGCACAAGCGGUGGAGCAUGUGGUUUAAUUCGAAGCAACGCGAAGAACCUUACCAAAUCUUGACAUCCUUUGACAACUCUAGAGAUAGAGCCUUCCCCUUCGGGGGACAAAGUGACAGGUGGUGCAUGGUUGUCGUCAGCUCGUGUCGUGAGAUGUUGGGUUAAGUCCCGCAACGAGCGCAACCCUUAAGCUUAGUUGCCAUCAUUAAGUUGGGCACUCUAAGUUGACUGCCGGUGACAAACCGGAGGAAGGUGGGGAUGACGUCAAAUCAUCAUGCCCCUUAUGAUUUGGGCUACACACGUGCUACAAUGGACAAUACAAAGGGCAGCGAAACCGCGAGGUCAAGCAAAUCCCAUAAAGUUGUUCUCAGUUCGGAUUGUAGUCUGCAACUCGACUACAUGAAGCUGGAAUCGCUAGUAAUCGUAGAUCAGCAUGCUACGGUGAAUACGUUCCCGGGUCU